UCCCUGAUAGCUCAGUUGGUAAAGAAUCUGCCUGCAAUGCAGGAGACACUGGUUCAAUUCCUGGUUCAGGAA
rnacentral:tRNA from 1 species